UCCAGACUCCUACGGGAGGCAGCAGUGGGGAAUAUUGGGCAAUGGGCGCAAGCCUGACCCAGCAACGCCGCGUGAAGGAAGGAGGCUUUCGGGUUGUAAACUUCUUUUCUGAGGGACGAAGAAAGUGACGGUACCUCAGGAAUAAGCCACGGCUAACUACGUGCCAGCAGCCGCGGUAAUACGUAGGUGGCAAGCGUUAUCCGGAUUUAUUGGGUGUAAAGGGCGUGUAGGCGGGAAAGCAAGUCAGAUGUGAAAACUCAGGGCUCAACCCUGAGCCUGCAUUUGAAACUGUUUUUCUUGAGUGCUGGAGAGGCAAUCGGAAUUCCGUGUGUAGCGGUGAAAUGCGUAGAUAUACGGAGGAACACCAGUGGCGAAGGCGGAUUGCCGGACAGUAACUGACGCUGAGGCGCGAAAGCGUGGGGAGCAAACAGGAUUAGAUACCCCUGUA
rnacentral:rRNA from 1 species